rnacentral:tRNA from 1 species
UCCCUGAUGGCUCAGAUGGUAAAGAGUCUGCCUGCAAUGCAGGAGACCCAGGUUCGAUCCCUGAGUUGGGAA